GACGAACCGUGCAAACGUUGUUCGGAAUCACUGGGCUUAAAGGGCGCGUAGGCGGCUUGCCAAGUCAGGGGUGAAAUCUUUCGGCUCAACCGGAAAAGUGCCUCUGAUACUGGCAGGCUAGAGCGAGGUAGGGGCAUGUGGAACUUCCGGUGGAGCGGUGAAAUGCGUUGAUAUCGGAAGGAACGCCGGUGGCGAAAGCGACGUGCUGGACCUCUUCUGACGCUGAGGCGCGAAAGCUAGGGGAGCGAACGGG
rnacentral:rRNA from 1 species